GCAGUCGUGGUCGAGUAGUUAAGGCGAUGGACUGGAAAUCCAGUGGAGUCUCCUUACAGAGGUUCGAAUCCUGUGGACUGCG
rnacentral:tRNA from 1 species